rnacentral:lncRNA from 1 species
AUUCCUCCUUAAAAAAUGGAGCGUGUUUGAGGCGCCGGUGUUCUGGAGAGGACUGGUGGGCAGAAUCACCCCAAACAGGAACGGAGUAAGAACUAAAAACGCAACUUCAUUUUGGACAAUAGCAGAAGACACCUGUAACUUCGAACCCCCGUUGUAUCAGCAGAGGGCCUGGGAGGAGCGUCAGACCCGGAUGCCUGAAGGCAGAGUUGGCAGUCCGAGGCACCAGCUACUGCUGAAGGUCAGCAAAAGGCAGCAGCUGAAGACGAGAGAGUUAUCUGCAAGUCUGAGUAAGGGACAGGCAGAGCCGCCAGAACUCUACUCCUAGUGCCAAGAAGCAGGUAAUUCUCUGGUGUGACUGAGUGAAACUGAGACUAUGCACGUAAAGAGACGACCUCCAGAUGUGGGCUCCCCGGGUGCGGAGGAGGGCAGGCGUGCCGUGCCAGACCAGACCAGACCAGGGAUUGGGGGACGGUCUGCAUCUGCAUCAGGAGCGCCUCCAGCCCUUUGGCCAGGUGAAAUCGUGUCAUUGUCGUUCACUAAUUGACUCAGCAGGGGGCCAAUGUUUAUGUGUCCUUAGUGUUGAAAACACUUCAUAUGGAUUUAUUCAAAAGUCGUGAUGGAGUCGUAUCAGGAGGUUGAGUUGAACAGAGGUAGGUCGUGAGAGAGUUUUAUCUAUUCACUUUAACAGGAAAUUGUAUUGAACAUGAAAAUAUUUGGAAAUGUUGAGGUAAAUAAAGGAUAUAGAGCUAAAAUGAUUAAAAAUGGUCGCCUUGAGGGACCCGGAUGAGGCAGGAGUAUUAUACUUGGGGGGAUUGCUGUUUUUUCUCAUAAGCUUUUAAGUACUAAUUAAUUUUUACUGAUGUGAGUGUAUUUCUUUGAUAAAUUAAAAUUGAGGACAAAGGGAGAAAUUGCUUGGGCACUUACUUACCUGCUACUUCAUUUAUGUACCUUAUGAGUUGGACUUCCAUAAAUGGAUUUCGUUCAAGCAGGCCACUCAUGGAGGUUGCAGAUCAUAAACAAGAAUUGAUGAUAUACUGGGGAGGUAAUUGAUCGGUCAGUAGCCAGAGAUAACACGGAUUCCUAAGAGAGGAGUCUGGGCUCCAGCUUGAAGAGCUGGGAUGUCUACUGUGGACUUCAUUCUGGCCAAGAUUCUAAGAGAAACUCUGUGCUAAUCCACCCUUUGCAAUGCAAUCCACCUGAUGAAUCGGAAGAUCUGACAAUUCUGGGCCUAUUUUCCGACAUGAGGAGCUGGCUGAGUUGAGCCCCAGCUGCCCCUUGUGGACGGAGAAUGGACUCUCCAGUUGGUAGCAUUCUUCGCUCAUUUAUUUAAAUUGCCUGCCUGGCCCUGUUGGCGUUCAAGUUUGCAGUCCUGACUUAAAUCUGCCCAAUCCCAAGAUCUUUGAGGGACCCCCCCGCUGACAGCCCCUUCCUUGUACAGUUUCUCCCCCGACCCCUACCCCCACCAAGGCAAACCCAUGAGCGUCAGCUUUGCAUCUGAGAGAAAAGGAACACCCUCACCCCCG